ACCACACUGCCGCCGGGCAGUUGCGCGAGGAGCGCCGGAUUUCGUAUCGUUAGGCCUUAGAAGAUAUGAGAUACCGGCGCUUGUUUUAU
rnacentral:ncRNA from 1 species